UUUGGACAGUGAUUUUAACCCUAACGCCAAAGACCUAAAACCUUACCAUAGCCCCAUAACCUAAUACCCGGGUAUUACCUUCAGGAAGCCUGAACACCUCAAAUAUUUUUUUUUUUCAUUUUACAUUUUUGUUGGUGUAACCAACUCCAAAGGUUGGAAUAGAGUUCCUACAAAGGUUUUGGACAGUGAUUUUAACCCUUAUGCCAAAAACCUUAAACCUUACCAUAGCCCCAUAAUCUAAUACCCGGGUAUUACAUUCAGGAAGCCCGAAAACCCCAAAUAUUUUUUUUUCAUUUUACAUUUUUGUUGGUGUAACCAACUCCAAAGGUUGGAAUAGAGUUCCUACAAAGGUUUUGGACAGUGAUUUUAACCCUUAUGCCAAAAACCUUAAACCUUACCAUAGCCCCAUAAUCUAAAACCGGGGAUUACCUUCAGGAAGCCAGAAAACCCGAAAUAUAUAUUUUUUUCAUUUUACAUUUUUGUUGGUGUAACUAACUCCAAAAGGUUGGAAUAGAGUUCCUACAAAGGUUUUGGACAGUGAUUUUAACCCUAAUGCCAAAAACCUUAAACCUUACCAUAGCCCCAUAACCUAAUACCCGGGUAUUACCUUCAGGAAGCCCGAACACCCCAAAUAUUUUUUUUUUCAUUUUACAUUUUUGUUGGUGUAACCAACUCCAAAAGGUUGGAAAAGAGUUCCUACAAAGUUUUUGGACAGUGAUUUUAACCAUUAUGCCAAAAACCUUAAACCUUACCAUAGCCUUAAAAUCUAAUACCCGGGUAUUACAUUCAGGAAGCCCGAAAACCCCGAUUAUUUUUUUUACAUUUUUCUUUUUUUUUUUUGGUCUAACUAACUCCAAAAGUUUGGAAAAGAGUUCCUACAAAGGUUUUGGACAGUGAUUUUAACCCUAAUGCCAAAAACCUUAAACCUUACCCUAUCCCCAAAACCUAAUACCCGAGUGUUACCUUCAGGAAACCCGAACACCCCAAAUAUCUUUUUUUUUCAUUUUACAUUUUUGUUGGUGUAACCAACUCCAAAGGUUGGAAUAGAGUUCCUACAAAGGUUUUGGACAGUGAUUUUAACCCUAAUGCCAAAAACCUUAAACCUUACCAUAGCCCCAUAAUCUAAUACCCGGGUAUUACUUUUAGGAAGCCUGAACACCCCAAAUAUAUAUUUUUUCAUUUUUCAUUUUUUUGUUGGUCUAACUAGCUCCAAAAAAUUGGAAAAGAGUUCCUACAAAGGUUUUGGACAGUGAUUUUAACCCUAACGCCAAAAAACUUAAACCUUACCCUAGCCUUAAAAUCUAAUACCCGGGUAUUACAUUCAGGAAGCUCGAAAACCCCAAAUAUUUUUUUUUUCAUUUUUCAUUUUUUUUUGGUCUAACUAACUCCAAAAGGUUGGAAAAGAGUUCCUACAAAGGUUUUGGACAGUGAUUUUAAAACUAAAGCCAAAAACCUUAAAACUUACUCUAUCUCCAAAACCUAAUACCCGGGUAUGACCUUCAGGAAGCCCGAACACCCCAAAAAUAUAUUUUUUUCAUUUUACAUUUUUGUUGGUGUAACCAACUCCAAAAGGUUUUAAAAGAGUUCCUACAAAGGUUUUGGACAGUGAUUUUAACCCUAAUGCCAAAAACCUUAAACCUUACCAUAGCCCCAUAAUCUAAUACCCGGGUAUUACUUUUAGGAAGCCUGAACACCCCAAAUAUUUUUUUUUUUCAUUUUUCUUUUUUUUUGGUCUAAGUAGCUCCAAAAAAUUGGAAAAGAGUUCCUACAAAGGUUUUGGACAGUGAUUUUAACCCUAACGCCAAAAACCUUAAACCUUACCAUAGCCCCAUAACCUAAUACCCGGGUAUUAACUUCAGGAAGCCCGAACACCCCAAAUAUUUUUUUUUUCAUUUUACAUUUUUGUUGGUGUAACCAACUCCAAAAGGUUGGAAAAGAGUUCCUACAAAGUUUUUGGAAAGUGAUUUUAACCAUAAUGCAAAAAACCUUAAACCUUACCAUAGCCCCAUAAUCUAAUAACCGGGUAUUACUUUUAGGAAGCCCGAACACCCCAAAUAUUUUUUUUUAUAUUUUUCCUUUUUUUUUUUGGUCUAACUAGCUCCAAAAAAUUGGAAACGAGUUCCUUCAAAGGUUUUGGACAGUGAUUUUAACCCUAACGCCAAAAAACUUAAACCUUACCCUAGCCUUAAAAUCUAAUACCCGGGUAUUACAUUCAGGAAGUCCGAAAACCCCAAUUAUUUUUUUUACAUUUUUCAUUUUUUUUUUGGUCUAACUAACUCCAAAAGUUUGGAAAAGAGUUCCUACAAAGGUUUUGGACAGUGAUUUUAACCCUAACGCCAAAAACCUUAAACCUUACCCUAUCCCCAAAACCUAAUACCCGAGUAUUACCUUCAGGAAGCCCGAACACCCCAAAUAUCUUUUUUUUUCAUUUUACAUUUUUGUUGGUGUAACCAACUCCAAAAGGUUGGAAAAGAGUUCCUACAAAGGUUUUGGACAGUGAUUUUAACCCUAACGCCAAAGACCUUAAACCUUACCAUAGCCCCAUAACCUAAUACCAGGGUAUUACUUUUAGGAAGCCCGAAAACCCCAAAUAUUUUUUUUUCAUUUUACAUUUUUGUUGGUGUAACCAACUCCAAAAGGUUGGAAAAGAGUUCCUACAAAUUUUUUGGACAGUGAUUUUAACCCUAACGCCAAAAAACUUAAACCUUACCCCAGCCUUAAAAUCUAAUACCCGGGUAUUACAUUCAGGAAGCCCGAAAACCCCCAAUAUUUUUUUUUUGAUUUUUCAUUUUUUUUUGGUCAAACUAGCUCCAAAAGGUUGGAAAAGAGUUCCUACAAAGGUUUUGGACAGUGAUUUUAACCCUAUCGCCAAAAACCUUAAACCUUACCAUAGCCCCAUAACUUAAUACCCGGGUAUUACCUUCAGGAAGCCUGAAAACCCCAAAUAUUUUUUUUUUCAUUUUACUUUUUUUUGGUGUAACCAACUCCAAAAGGUUGGAAAAGAGUUCCUACAAAGGUUUUGGACAGUGAUUUUAAAACUAAAGCCAAAAACCUUAAAACUUACUCUAUCUCCAAAACCUAAUACCCGGGUAUGACCUUCAGGAAGCCCGAACACCCCAAAAAUAUAUUUUUUUCAUUUUACAUUUUUGUUGGUGUAACCAACUCCAAAAGGUUUUAAAAGAGUUCCUACAAAGGUUUUGGACAGUGAUUUUAACCCUAAUGCCAAAAACCUUAAACCUUACCAUAGCCCCAUAAUCUAAUACCCGGGUAUUACUUUUAGGAAGCCUGAACACCCCAAAUAUUUUUUUUUCAUUUUUUUUUUUUUUUUUAGUCUAAGUAGCUCCAAAAAAUUGGAAAAGACUUCCUACAAAAGUUUUGGACAGUGAUUUUAACCCUAACGCAAAAACCUUGAACCUUACCAUAGCCCCAUAACCUAAUACCCGGGUAUUACCUUCAGGAAGCCCGAACACCCCAAAUAUUUUUUUUUUUCAUUUUACAUUUUUGUUGGUGUAACCAACUCCAAAAGGUUGGAAAAGAGUUCCUACAAAGGUUUUGGAAAGUGAUUUUAACCAUAAUGCAAAAAACCUUAAACCUUACCAUAGCCCCAUAAUCUAAUAACCGGGUAUUACUUUUAGGAAGCCCGAACACCCCAAAUAUUUUUUUUAUAUUUUUCCUUUUUUUUUUGGUCUAACUAGCUCCAAAAAAUUGGAAACGAGUUCCUUCAAAGGUUUUGGACAGUGAUUUUAACCCUAACGCCAAAAAACUUAAACCUUACCCUAGCCUUAAAAUCUAAUACCCGGGUAUUACAUUCAGGAAGUCCGAAAACCCCAAUUAUUUUUUUUACAUUUUUCAUUUUUUUUUUGGUCUAACUAACUCCAAAAGUUUGGAAAAGAGUUCCUACAAAGGUUUUGGACAGUGAUUUUAACCCUAACGCCAAAAACCUUAAACCUUACCCUAGCCCCAAAACCUAAUACCCGGGUAUUACCUUCAGGAAGCCCGAACUGCCCAAAUAUAUAAAUUUUUUAUUUUACAUUUUUGUUGGUGUAACCAACUCCAAAAGGUUGGAAAAGAGUUCCUACAAAGGUUUUGGACAGUGAUUUUAACCCUAACGCCAAAGACCUUAAACCUUACCAUAGCCCCAUAACCUAAUACCAGGGUAUUACUUUUAGGAAGCCCGAAAACCCCAAAUAUUUUUUUUUCAUUUUACAUUUUUGUUGGUGUAACCAACUCCAAAAGGUUGGAAAAGAGUUCCUACAAAUUUUUUGGACAGUGAUUUUAACCCUAACGCCAAAAAACUUAAACCUUACCCCAGCCUUAAAAUCUAAUACCCGGGUAUUACAUUCAGGAAGCCCGAAAACCCCAAAUAUUUUUUUUUUCAUUUUUCAUUUUUUUUUGGUCAAACUAGCUCCAAAAGGUUGGAAAAGAGUUCCUACAAAGGUUUUGGACAGUGAUUUUAACCCUAUCGCCAAAAACCUUAAACCUUACCAUAGCCCCAUAACUUAAUACCCGGGUAUUACCUUCAGGAAGCCUGAAAACCCCAAAUAUUUUUUUUUUCAUUUUACUUUUUUUUGGUGUAACCAACUCCAAAAGGUUGGAAAAGAGUUCCUACAAAGGUUUUGGACAGUGAUUUUCACCCUAAUGUCAAAAACCUAAAACAUUACCAUAGCCCCAUAACCUAAUACCCGGGUAUUACCUUCAAGAGCCCGAAAACCCCCAAUUUUUUUUUUUCAUUUUACAUUUUUGUUGGUGUUACCAACUCCAAAAGGUUUGAAAAGAGUUCCUACAAAUGUUUUGGACAGUGAUUUUAAACCUAACGCCAAAAACCUUAAACCUUACCCUAGCCCCAUAACCUAAUACCCGGGUAUUACAUUCAGGAAGCCUGAACACCCCAAAUAUAUUUUUUUUCAUUUUUCUUUUUUUUUUUGGUCUAACUAGCUCCAAAGAAUUGGAAAAGAGUUCCUACAAAGGUUUUGGACAGUGAUUUUAACCCUAACGCCAAAAAAACUUAAACCUUACUCUAGCCUUAAAAUCUAAUACCCGGGUAUUACAUUCAGGAAGCCAGAAAACCCCAAAUAAUUUUUUUUUCAUUUAACAUUUUUGUUGGUGUAACCAACUUCAAAAGGUUGGAAAAGAGUUCCUACAAAGGUUUUGGACAGUGAUUUUAACCCUAAUGCAAAAAAACUUAAACCUUACCCUAGCCUUAAAAUCUAAUACACGGGUAUUACAUUCAGGAAGCCCGAAAACCCCAAAUAUUUUUUUUUUCUUCAUUUUUCAUUUUUUUUGGUCUAACUAACUCCAAAAGGUUGGAAAAGAGUUCCUACAAAGGUUUUGGACAGUGAUUUUAACCCUAACACCAAAAACCUUAAACCUUACCCUAUCCCCAAAACCUAAUACCCGGGUAUUACCUUCAGGAAGCCCGAACACCCCAAAUAUCUUUUUUUUCAUUUUACAUUUUUUUUGGUGUAACCAACUCCAAAAGGUUGGAAAAGAGUUCCUUCAAAGGUUUUGGACAGUGAUUUUAACCCUAAUUCCGAAAACCUUAAACCUUACCAUAGCCCCAUAACCUAAUACCAGGGUAUUACUUUUAGGAAGCCUGAACACCCCAAAUAUUUUUUCUUCAUUUUUCAUUUUUUUUGGUCUAACUAGCUCCAAAAAAUUGGUAAAGAGUUCCUACAUAGGUUUUGGACAGUGAUUUUAACCCUAACGCCAAAAAACUUAAACCUUACCCUAGCCUUAUAAUCUAAUACACGGGUAUUACCUUCAGGAAGCCCGAAAACCUCAAAUAUGUUUUUUUCAUUUUUAAUUUUUUUUUGGUCUAACUAACUCCAAAAGGUUGGAAAAGAGUUCCUACAAAGGUUUUGGACAGUGAUUUUAACCCUAGCGCCAAAAACCUUAAACCUUACCAUAGCCCCAUAACCUAAUAUAAUACCUGUAUAACCUUCAGGAAGCCUGAACACCCCAAAUAUUUUUUUUUCAUUUUUCUUUUUUUUUGGUCUUACUAACUCCAAAAUGUUGGAAAAGAGUUCCUACAAAGGUUUUGGACAGUGAUUUUAACCCUAACGCAAAAAACCUUAAACCUUACCCUUGCCUUAAAAUCUAGUACCCGGGUAUUACGUUCAGGAAGCCCGAAAACCCCAAAUAUUUUUUCUUCAUUUUUCUUUUUUUUUGGUCUUACUAACUCCAAAAGGUUGGAAAAGAGUUCCUACAAAGGUUUUGGACAGUGAUUUUAACCCUAACGCCAAAAACCUUAAACCUUUCCCUAGCCCUAAAACAUAAUACCCGGGUAAUACUUUCAGGAAGCCCGAACACUCCAAAUAUAUAUAUAUUGUUUUUCUUUUUUUUUCGUCUAUCUAACUGCAAAAGGUUGGAAAAGAGUUCUUACAAAGGUUUUGGACAGUUAUUUUAACACUGACGCCAAAAACCUUAAACCUUUACCUAGCCCCAUAACCUAAUACCCGGGUAUUACCUUCAGGAAGCCUGAACACCCCAAAUAUUUUAAUUUUAUUUUUCUUUUUUUUUGGUCUUACUCACUCCAAAAGGUUUGAAAAGAGUUCCUAAAAAGGUUUUGGACAGUGAUUUUAACCCUAACGCCAAAAAACUUAAACCCUACCCUAGCCCCAUAACCUAAUACCCGGGUAUUACCUUCAGGAAGCCUGAAAACCCCAAAUAUUUUUUCUUCUUUUUUCAUUUUUUUUUUUGGUCUAACUAACUCCAUAGGGUUGGAAAAGAGUUCCUACAAAGGUUUUGGACAGUGAUUUUGACCCUAAUGCCAAAAAACUUAAACCUUACCCUAGCCCCAAAACCUAAUACCUGGGUAUUACCUUCAGGAAGCCCGAACACCCCAAUUUUUUUUUUUUUUCAUUUUACAUUUUGUUUUUUGGUGUAACCAACUCCAAAAGGUCUGAAACAUGUUCCCAAAAAGGUUUUGGACAGUGAUUUUAACCCUAACGCCAAAAACCUUAAACCUUACCCUAGCCCAAUAACCUUAUACCCGGGUAUUACUUUCAGGAAGCCCAAAAACCUCAAUUUUUUUUUUCUUUUUUCAUUUUUUUUGGUCUAACUCCAAAAGGUUGGAAAAGAGUUCCUACAAAGGUUUUGGACAGUGAUUUUAACCCUAACACCAAAAAACUUAAACCUUACCCUAGCCUUAAAAUCUAAUGCCCGGGGAAUUACCUUCAGGAAGCCCGAACACCCCAAAUAUUUUUUUUUUCAUUUUACAUUUUUGUUGUUGUAACCAACUCCAAAAGGUUGGAAAAGAGUUCCUACAAAGGUUUUGGACAGUGAUUUUAACCCUAACGCCAAAAACCUUAAACCUUUCCCUAGCCCCAAAACAUAAUACCCGGGUAAUACUUUCAGGAAGCCCGAACACUCCAAAUAUAUAUAUUUUUUUUUUCUUUUUUUUUUCGUCUAUCUAACUGCAAAAGGUUGGAAAAGAGUUCUUACAAAGGUUUUGGACAGUUAUUUUAACCCUGACGCCAAAAACCUUAAACCUUUACCUAGCCCCAUAACCUAAUACCCAGGUAUUACCUUCAGGAAGCCUGAACACCCCAAAUAUUUUAAUUUUAUUUUUCUUUUUUUUUGGUCUUACUCACUCCAAAAGGUUUGAAAAGAGUUCCUAAAAAGGUUUUGGACAGUGAUUUUAACCCUAACGCCAAAAAACUUAAACCCUACCCUAGCCCCAUAACCUAAUACCCGGGUAUUACCUUCAGGAAGCCCGAAAACCCCAAAUAUUUUUUUUUCUUUUUUCAUUUUUUUUUUGGUCUAACUAACUCCAUAGGGUUGAAAAGAGUUCCUACAAAGGUUUUGGACAGUGAUUUUGACCCUAAUGCCAAAAACCUUAAACCCUCCCCUAGCCCCAUAACCUAAUAUAAUACCUGUGUAACCUUCAGGAGGCCCGAACACCCAAAAUACUUUUUUUUUUUCUUUUUUUUUUGGUCUAACUAACUCCAAAAGGUCUGAAACAUGUUCCUAAAAAGGUUUUGGACAGUGAUUUUAACCCUAACGCCAAAAGCCUUAAACCUUACCCUAGCCCCAUAUCCAUAUUACCAGGUAUUACCUUUAGGAAGCCCGAAAAACUCAAUUUUUUUUUUUUCAUUUUACAUUUUUUUGGUGUAACUAACUCCAAAAGGUCUGAAACAUGUUCCUCAAAAGGUUUUGAACAGUGAUUUUAACCCUAACGCCAAAAACCUUCAACCUUACCCUAUUCCCGAACCUAAUACCCGGGUAUUAACUUAAGGAAGCCUUCACACCCCAAACAUUUUUUUUUUUCAUUUUUUUGUUUUAUUUUUUGGUCUAGCUAACUCCUAAAGGUUGGAAAAGAGUUCCUACAAAGGUUUUGGACAGUGAUUUUAACCCUAACGCCAAAAACCUUUAACCUUACCCUAGCCCUGUAAUAUAAUAUUUACAUAAUUUACAAACACAUAGUCUAAAAGAUAGACAGCAUAGCAUACUAAUUUAGCUGAGUCAUUAAACUUCCUACCAACACAUAAUUUUUACACACAGAUUGAGCUUGGAGACUUGACUGGGAACAUGUGAUAUGUCGACAUGCGCCAGCCAGUGCAAGCCCUUGAUCAGCCUACCCCAAACCGCCAAGUCAACUGACGAAAGCAGGGGCUAUCACUGUAUCUCUUUCCCACACCUAACCAGCCAGUUGCCUUCGGACAGACUUGUCACAAUAUCAUUCCGAGAAUAGUCUGAGCCCAUGCUCCUUCUGUGCACACAACCUCUCACCCCCGCCCCCCCCUCCCCCCCCUUUCCCCCCCUUUAUAGAAUCUAAGAUCUUCCAGGUUCAAGGGUGAGAGUGAAUUCCAAAGAAUCCUCCACCUUGGAACCUAUACUAACACUACAUUCCACAGAUAACUAAACAAAAAACAUCUAAACCCUAACAGCAAUGACGAAAAGAUAAAUACUUUUCAAGACAAAUUAACUCCUGACCCCACCCUGCCCCCCUCCUUUUCUCCCUCUCUCCUGAUCUGUACCUCUCUCUCCUAUCAGAGGAUGAGAACCAGCAGGUGAGGAGAGUCUCAAUGGCGAGUCACGGUGGCAAGAUCUAUCCGGCUGUUAAGCCGUGACGUAGCCGCGUUCUCUUUUUCCACUUCCGGGUCCAGCGAAGUUGUCGUUAUAAUGCCUCAGUGCUAUGUCCCUUGCUGCUUAAACUGAUCAGAGACAAAAGCAGCGACUAAACUAUCAUUCUACAUAUUUCCUCCCAACAACAAAGACAACAAAAUGACUUUAUCAUUUCUGUAUUGUAUCCAUAGACUGUAUACAGUCUAUUAUCGUAUCACAAACACACGGCAUCACAUCCAUUCAUUCAUUGAAUUCAAAGCUUUGCGCACCAAAGCCUCGGGGUGUCUUUGGUUUAUCGUUUUACAUUUAUUGUCCACUUGAUGGCGCAAUAGAGCAAAUGAAGCACGAUCAUGAAGCUUCGGCCCAGGAGGUGAGUAAUUGGAUGAAAAGCUUUGAUGCUUCAUGAGGCUUCAUCUCGCCAUCACUAAAAUUUACGUUAAUAACUCUAUCCGAGUUGAAAGCUUUAAGUCCCUUUUUAACUCUGAGUGGUUCCCUUCUGAAAAAGGAGGUUAUUUUAAAGAGAUUCACGGGUUCCGCCAUUGUUGUUUUGAAUGGAGAGUGAAUGGAGGCUGAUUCCCCAUGGACCCGGAAGCCGCUCCGCUCACAAAAUGACGUCACGCUUAACAGCCGGAUUCUCUUUCUAUCACUCGAAUCCCUGCAUGAGCAGAAUGGUGCCAGACGGACCACCUGCUCCCACCACAAUCCUCUGUGACUUUUUGACUCUAUCCACUUUUAGAACUUAAAAUAGUAAUCAAUAAUCAACUGACCAACUCAGCUCAAACCAAACCCAAAACUCUGCCUAGAGAACUCUCACUUCCACGUUUACAUAUCUCUUUGUAUCUUGUGAGGACCGUGAGGAGAGCAGAGCCUAGAUCUAGUCGGGUCGGGGGACUAUGUCCCUUGCUCACUCUCCUCACAUGGAUGGUGAGAGCUGGGGAGCUAUGGGAUGUUUCAUCCGCCACCAAAUCCCCCUCACCAAUCUUUAUUUUCCACCAUCUCCACCUCUCCCUUAAACCCCCCUCUCCCUCUUCCCUUCUCUCUCUCUCUCUCUCUCUCACACACACACACACACACACACACACACACACCACUCUCUCUCUCUCUCUCUCUCUCUCUCUCUCUCUCCCCCUCAUCUCUCUCCCUCAUCUCUCCCCCUCAUCUCUCCCCCUCUCUCUAACACCCCCCCUUUCUUAUUCCCUCCCCUGCCCCUUUAUUUUCACCUUCACAGAGGACAAAUAGGUGAUCUUCAGCCUAGGCCUACCCCGGCCGGGGGGUAACCCCUGUUGGGUCACCUAUAUGGAGGAUUAAGAGAGACCUGAAGGGGAACCGCCGUGCCCCCUAAAUCCUCCCCCUCUAACAUCUUUUUAACACUCUAAAAUUAGCCAGCUAACCCCACUACAAACAACUUCAUCAAAAAUUUAAAUAAUAAAUACUUAUCAAUAACUGACCAUCAGUGACACCAGACUAAGUUAGCAAAAAAGAACACACACACACACACGUACAGAUUUUCCCUUAGGACAUUGAUCAGAUUUACAUUUCUGUCUUUCUUUUAGGGAACUGUUCUCUGUUUUUAAGCUCACUUCUGAUUUUUGCUAUUUGCUCUUGACACUUCUUUUUUUCCUUUUUUCUUCCCCUUUCCCUUUUGCAAUCCACUUUUGUUCUUCUUUUAUUUUUUCAUUGUUUUAUAUUAUUUUAUUUUAUUUUAGGGUUCCUGUGCUUUUGUUUUUCUUCCCCCCUCCCCUCUUUUUUCUUAGGAAGGACUGACUCCUGAGGUUCUCAUGCCAGGAAAAAUGUACCUCCCUCACUCACGGUUUUACCCACAAUCCUUUGCUGCAACAGGGAGAUUGAUUCCCAAGGCUCUCAUGCCAGAAAGGAAGUACCUCACUCACUCACGGGCUGUGUCCAAAAUGGCCUACUACUCCUACUAAACCCGCCUCUGAA
rnacentral:lncRNA from 1 species